GCGCCGUCGACAGAGGCUGGCGCUCCGUCGAGCGGACGCCACCGCGCCGUCGCGUCGCUCCGUCCGGCGUCUGCAAACGUCGAAACGCGCCGCGCGCGCUCUUCUCAGACAGUUGUGCGAAGUUCGAGAAGCGGAGCGCACACGGACGCGCGCUCUCCGGCAACGCGUGGUGUCCCGGCCAGGUGGACUGGGUCCCUCCUUGCGUCGCUCUCCGUCAAUGAUCCCCCGUGCACGGUGGGUGACAGUGCGCAUGCGCAAGCGAAUGCCACGUGGCUAAGCAGUGAGGUGAAGCGCUCGUUCAGGGCCAGGAGCGGCGUAAGGACGCAUGAAGGUAGCUUUGGAGCUACCUUAUGCUGAGGAAGCACCAAGGAAGCCUUCACCGAGGGUACCCUCUGUAAGGAAGCUUUCAGAGUGACAUAAGGUAGCCUCACCCCAAUGAAGGCUUCCUUAGCGAGGUUUCAUUCCAGAUGACUGGAAAAUUGGAAAGUUCGUUCCAGUCCACAACAGGCAACGACAGGCAAGCCGUGUCUUCACAUCUAGAGUGUGGGAGUCCUUCGGUCUACCGGGGCGCAGUCGCUGCUGUGCCUAAGGCUCCGGACUUAUUCGCCAUUGCGAGGAAAACCUCUCCCAAAUGCCUACCCCUCGACCGCGCGCCGUUUUCCCCGGGCGCCGCGGCCGCGUCCCGUGACGUCAUGCUACGCGGCCCUGCGAUUGGGUCGUGGGGCGUGACGUAGGGAAGAAGCCCCGACUGGGGACGAUCGCCGUGCGCGGGGGAGUCGUGCGGCGACAGGGACGAGCGCCGGUCACGAGAGGCAAGCUGCAAGGUACGUGAGCGACCAGCUAUUUGCGUCCCCCAACGCCCCGGCCUGGGGACGUUCACGUGCUUUGUCAGCUUGCGUAAGUGUGGCUUGCUGAGUGGCUUUGCGUUCCGCCCUUGCGGUAGUCGCAGGUGCUCAGUGCGUCACAUUUUGCGUGUCCGAACCGUCGCAGACCAUUGUCGGUGACGGGAAGCGCUAGGUAGCGUUUGCGAACGCAUUUCGGCCCGCGCGCGUAAACCAUUGUUCGACGCGGCGUGUACCCCGCCUUCCUCGCCAUCGGGAACCGCGGGCGCCGAGUGUACUCCGUGUGUUUGGGUGCAGUCUGGCACAUGUUGGCCAUUGGGGAUCAAUAAACGCCUUAACUGUCCUGGACGCCGUGUGUUCCUGGGAGAGCGCCCAUGCGUACGGCCAGAGCCGUCCAGGUCUUUCGGCUCGGUGCUCGAACCUGCGGUGGGUCUAUCGCCGUGCGCCGUCGUGCCGCGUCGUGAGGCCCCACGUUGGGCGCCAAAAUGUGGGCUCACAGUACGUCUCCGCGCACGGCGUCGCCAAGUGGCCCCCGAGAAGUGGAGCCUCACGACGCGGCACGACGGCGCACGGCGAUAGACCCACCGCAGGUUCGAGCACCGAGCCGAAAGACCUGGACGGCUCUGGCCGUACGCAUGGGCGCUCUCCCAGGAACACACGGCGUCCAGGACAG